UUUAGUAACCUUAUAAAAGUUGUUUUAUUCUGCAAGGACAGGGUCUGUCUGUUUUUCUUUCUGUCUGUGUCUGUCUGUUUUUCUUUCUGUCUGUCUGUCUGUCACGUCACUGGACUUCCUGUUCCUGUUGCUGACGGCAUGCUGCACAAGUGUUUGUAGCCUGCUAGCCUGCUUAGCAUUGCUUACUCUUAUUCUCAUACGUUCGUCGUUUUAUCCUUUGUCAUUUUACCGCAUUUUUCGGGUUUUUCCGCUUUUCUACUGUUUCGUCUGUGUGUAUUUUACUUGUUGCUGUUGGCGCCUAGCUCGAGUCUGUGCUUUUUUUUUUUUUUUUAGCAUCUCACUUAACUAUCUGUUUUCAGCCUUUAAUCCUUAACAUCUGCCAUUUUUCAGCGUGCAUCGGGUUUUCUCCCGCAUUAUUCUCAUCGCGAUUCAACUGCGUGCAUUUUCCACGUGCAUCCAUUUUUCUCCUCUGUAUUACACGGAUUAUUGCAUCAAUAUCAAAGCACUGCUUAACCAUAACAACAAACAACUGCAUGAGGGAUUCACAUCGAUCUCAAACCCUCACCGCUCAGGAACAACUAACAUCACCAAACAACUGCAAUACAGUAUCUUUGGAAGACUUCAUCACCAUGUAAAAUGUCCAAUUACUGGAGUAUAUGUAGAAAAAUUCAGAAAGAAGUUGAGAGAUUUGGAAAAGCUAAAGUUCAAUGUUUGCUGUAGUGAAAUUUCCAAAUGAAGAUGACAGUUUAGCUGUUGUCACAGCAACAUGGUGCACCAAGGACAAACGUUACUGGCCUCCAUAUAAGAGCCAAGAAAGAUUACGGAAGGCAGUGAUGUCACAUGAACGGCUGGACAUUGACACGUGGGAGGUGCACCCAAUUGAAGUACUCAAAACAAAGAAUUCAUGACAUGGACCAUUGAAUGCCUGGUUCGGGCAGAAAAGGGUUCAAGCCUGGAAACAGAGCCCGAGUCUCACCAAAGAAAAAGUGAAAUCCUAAAUUUGUUCAGACUGACUCUGAGUAGUCUGCUGAUUAUGACCAGCUCCCACCAAUGCCAAAGACACCCAAAUUUACCCCCAACAGGGUUUCUACAUCCAAAAAAUCUUCCUCAAAACCCAGUUCCUGUCCCUCUGUCACUGUCUGCUGGGGGAGAAGGAUGUAAAGCAGCCCAAAAUACCAAAAAUUGUACAGCAGCAGUUCAAGGCCUUCAAUCCUCCAUCACAGGAAUUAGCUCUUCACCAGUCUGAAGGAACAUAGUCUUGCCAAUCAUGUGAUCUGAGAAGGGAGAACUACUCUACUGUGUUAAUCUAAAAACAACAACAAAACUCACAUCUUUCAGAAUCAAGACCCUGUUCCUAUGCUUCUUUGUCGGAAGAUUUUCU